rnacentral:misc_RNA from 1 species
UCCGACUAUACGCCGGCAGUCCCCUGUGAGUAUUCAACACAGGGCAAGGGUUGCGCUCGUUGCGGGACUUAACCCAACAGCUCACGCCACGAGCUGACGACAACCAUGCAGCACCUGUCUAGCACCCUCGAAGGCCGCCCUAGUUUCCUAGGGCCUGCAGCUAGAUUUCAAGCCUUGGUAAGGUUCUUCGCUCAGUAUCGAAUUAAACCACAUGCUCCACCGCUUGUGCGGGCUCCCGUCAAUUCCUUUGAGUUUUAGCCUUGCGGCCGUACUUCCCAGGCGAGAUACUUAACGCGUUAGCUUGCGACUCAGAAACUGUCGAAAGUUCCUAAGCCUAGUAUCCAUCGUUUACGGCGUGGACUA